rnacentral:lncRNA from 1 species
GAUCCAUUAAGUUGGCCAUGAGAUUUUUUUCCUAAAACAUUGUUAACUACUUAUCAGAGGAAACACAGCUCUCCCUUCAUUAUCAGCCGCUCAAUGCCAGUAGCUCAUCCAGUGAGAUUGGGUCCUUUCCUUGCUAGAAUGUGAAAAGGACUUGAUACUAGCAAAGGUCUUGUGUAGCUGACCUCUGCUUUGAGUUUCUGAGUGCAAUGAUGAUGUCAUGUUCUGAAACAGCAGUUCACAGCAUUCCUUUCCAUCUUCUGCCUCUUAUAGUUUUCCACCCCUGUCCUCUUUGUUGUUUCCUGGACCUCUGGGCGGCUCUAAGAUGUUAUAGAAAUCCUCUUUUGGGCUGAGUGAUGCAUUUCAGUACUGUUUCUGUUUUUAAACUCAGGUUUAUCCAGCACCCAAAAAACUUUGGACUAAUUGCAUCCUAUUUGGAAAGGAAGAGCGUGCCUGAUUGUGUUUUAUAUUACUAUUUAACCAAGAAAAACGAGAAUUAUAAAGCCCUUGUGAGAAGAAAUUAUGGGAAACGCAGAGGCAGAAAUCAG